GACGAACGCUGGCGGCGUGCUUAACACAUGCAAGUCGAACGGAAAGGCCCUGCUUUUGUGGUGUGCUCGAGUGUCGAAAUGGUGGGUAACACGUGAGUAACCUGCCCUUGACUUUGUGAUAACUUCAGGAAACUGGGGCUAAUACCGGAUAGGUACUCCUGCUGCAUGGUGGGGGUUGGAAAGUUUCGACGGUUGGGGAUGGACUGGUGGCUUAUCAGCUUGUUUGUGGGGUAGUGGCUUACCAAGGCUUUGACGGGUAGCCGGCCUGUGAGGGUAGCCGGCACCAUCAGGACGGAGAUGCGGCCCAGACUACUACGGUAUGCAACAGUGGGGAGUAGUGCACAAUGGGAGGAAGCAUGAUGCAGUAAAGCCGCGUGGGGGAUAACAGCCUUGUAGUUGUAUAGCGAAGUCGUGUGUGACGAAGAGAGAGUGACGGUAAUAGGUAAAGAAGCACCGGCUAACUACGUG
rnacentral:rRNA from 1 species